GCUGCUGCUGCCCUCAACCACAGCCACCACGUCUGGCCUCAGCACCCCCAAAUUCCGUGCCUGCUGCCCCUGCCCUGUGCCUCCUCUUUGCCCCCAGAAGCCUAAAUCUGGUGGUGUAAACAUGAGGUGGAAAGCUGAGGCUGUGAGUGGUCAUAGCCCCAGCAGUCAGGCCGGUUUAGGCAGUGAGUGACCCUCAGGGCUGUGGAGCUGCUUGGAAGGUUUCUGCCAUGCCUGAGGCAGAGUCGUGCCUGACCCAUCUCCAUAGUCGGGAGGAGGUUUCCACAUCUCCUUCUGAGUGCAUGCAAGGCUGGAAGUUCAGCAGGACCGGAACGUUUGUAAACAAGUGAAUAAGGAUUGCAGUGGGCACUCCAAGGGGAGUGUGGAGUGCACCCUAAAACUGCCCUUCGACAGAGAACGUUGUUUCUUUGUGCCAUCUGCAGAAGAUGGCCCCGGAGCUGUGCUGGAUCCGUGUCAGCUCAGCACACGAGGGCUGACUGAGCAUGACACCCCUAACACGGGCAAUUCCAAGGAUGCCUGGCAAACCAGCCGUGUUCUCCAGGCCGUGAAUUGAGAACAUCCACGACAUCACCAAUUUUCCAAUCUGAUGAAAAUGCCAGUGAUGCACCUCCCUCAGUGUUCCAUCUUCGGGGUGUUACAUACUCCCAGUCCUGGGAAGGUUCUCAGGAAAAGAGCAGGUGUGCUCAACACACAUGAUGAUACUCAGAACAACUUGCUUGCCUUACUGCUGCGCCCUUUUCCAGAAUCUUCUGUUGAUCCCAGGCCUCUGGGAAAGCUGCAUAUUGAAAACCAGUUGGGUGUAAAAAGCUGCUGCAGUCAGGGCAGAGAUUCAGAUCGAAAUGGUGCCACCUGGGACAUGGCAACAAAGAGCAAGUACUGCUGCAUCAACACAGAGCAGCUCCAAGUGUGUUUUUCACAGACUCUGUGUCCACCUUUGCUGAAUAUUUGGAGACAGAAAGCAGCUUUACACAGGUAAUGCAUUGCUCCAAGUCCAGCUGUCCAGAGAACAGAAAGAGAAGAAAGCCCAUAAAGAAAACACCCACCUGUACUGUUUAUUUUAAUCUUCAUUGUGUUAUGGCUUUAAGGCAUGAGAAGUCAGUGCCUUUGCAGAGCUAAGGAGGAGCACUGGUUGGUGAAACAUCUGGAGCCCUGUGCUGCAUCUUGCUGCAGAAAGGUGUGCUGGGACAGUUCACUGAACAUCUGCCUGGGAGCAGUCGUUUCUGCCUUCUGCUGGCACUGCAGCUCUUGCUGUGCUCUGACUCUGCUGCAAGGUCACACUGGGGGGGUGGCUCUGGGGUACAGCUCUGUGCAU